GAACUCGGUAAUGGCAGCGCCCUUGGAAUAAAUUGAUAAUACUACAAAAGAAAAGAGCUAAGAUUACUAGAUGUAGAUUUACGAAAUUUUGUAUUGAUCCCAAUAAGUAACUUUAAUAAGAUUGAAACUUUAUGAUUCAAUUCUGUAGACUGUCAUGGCUUCAAACUUGAAAUCUGUCUGUCGCUACUUUUCUACAUCCUCAAGACUUCUCAAAAAACCAAACAUUCA
rnacentral:sRNA from 1 species